rnacentral:rRNA from 1 species
AGCUCCAAUAGCGUAUAUUAAAGUUGUUGCGGUUAAAAAGCUCGUAGUUGGAGUUCUGCCAGGUGCCGCCUGUCCGCCCCAGUGGUGAGUACGUGGCGCGCAUUUGGCCCUUUCAAGGGGAGCGUAUUGCACUUAACUGUGUGGUGCGGGAUCCUUGACUUUUACUUUGAGGAAAUAAGAGUGUUCCAAGCAGGCUCUCGUCGUGCAUAGCUCAGCAUGGAAUAAUAGCAUUGGAUCUCGAUUCCAAACUGUUGGUUGUAGGAAACGAGAUAAUGAUGAAGAGGGAUAGGUUGGGGGGCA